rfam:Schistosoma rodhaini strain Burundi genome assembly, scaffold: SROB_scaffold0001047
AUCCAGCUUAAGAGUCUCAAAUAGGAUGAAACAUGUGUCCUGUAU